UACGUAGGGGGCAAGCAUUAUCCGGAUUUACUGGGUGUAAAGGGAGCGUAGACGGCCAGACAAGUCUGAAGUGAAAAUCCAGCGCUUAACGUUGGAAGUGCUUUGGAAACUGCCGGGCUAGAGUGCAGGAGGGGCAGGCGGAAUUCCUAGUGUAGCGGUGAAAUGCGUAGAUAUUAGGAGGAACACCAGUGGCGAAGGCGGCCUGCUGGACUGCAACUGACGUUGAGGCUCGAAAGCGUGGGGAGCAAACAGG
rnacentral:rRNA from 1 species